rnacentral:rRNA from 1 species
AAGACUCUCGGCAACGGAUAUCUUGGCUCUUGCAUCGAUGAAGAACGUAGCGAAAUGCGAUACUUGGUGUGAAUUGCAGAAUCCCGUGAACCAUCGAGUUGUUGAACGCAAGUUGCGCCCGACGCCAUCAGGUCGAGGGCACGCCUGCCUGGGUGUCGCACAU